rnacentral:lncRNA from 1 species
AAAGAAAGUUAAUUUAACUUUGCUAUACUUUCUCUGUAGUCUCUGAAAAUCUUUUUCAACUUUUCAUUUGUAUGGCUUUGGUGGUUCUCUUAGCACCGGAGCCGUCCUCUCUUUUCCUUUUUCUUUGUUUUGUGUUGUGACUUUAUUGGUUUGCUAUGUUUGGAUCUGUUUGAUUAACCGUGUAGAUGUUCAAAGCAAGGAUCUAUCUUAAUGUGGUCGAAAAUCUAAAUCUGAUCGGGUUCAUCUACAAUUUUCUCUUGGUAGUUUUGGACCCUCUACAUCGUCGGUGUGACUAUCUUUGAUCCUUAGUUUUCCUUAUUUCAUUUGCAUGUGUUUUAUUCCUUUUGGGUGGACCAGAUUAUUGCAGGUUUUCAGUUUUGAUGUUUCUCAGUUGGGUUGUUUGUCUCCUUUUAUCUUUGUCAAAUUUUUGGUUUCUCUCAUGUUCAUCUCCGCAAAUGGAUCGACCCGCUCCUUGUCAUUUCCUAAGAGAUUAGUUUGAGAUCUCUUCUCUUCAUGGCGCUUCUUUGUGGUGGUUCUAAGUUGCUUCAUACCCAACGACGCCUUUCUAGUUGUUCGUUGGAUAAGGAAACCUUUAGUCUACCGCUUACUAUUCCACUAUAGAAGGUUUCGAUUGUCAAAAUGCUGUUGAUAACUUCCAUUAAAUAUUCUUAAGAUUCUAGGUUUAAGGUUACUGUUCUGCAUUUUCACCUUUGUGUUUGUAAGUAGAGGUUAACAAUUGUAAUUGGAAUAUAAUUAUGUGUUUUAGUCCAAUGCAUGUGUGUUGUGGUUAGUUUCAGGGGACACUUUUGUCGUCUGCCGGCUUCAUUGUUUGAACAAGUGAUCACUGACAUGCUGAAAACAAAACACGUCACUUAAAUCCACUAAAUCAUUUUCAAUAUAAAAUUAUAUUUUUUGUUUCUAAAAUACAGUUGGCUUUGCUAUAGUUUUACUCUAAUUUCUAUUUUUAAAAAGUAGAGUCAAAAACAGAAACA